UUAAUAUUCCUCCGUCCAACAAAAGAUGUCUCAACUUUGACUAAAUUUGAAUGCAUCUAUACACUAAGUCAUGUCUAGAUACAUCCAAAUUUUGACAAACUUGAGACAUCUUUUGUUGGACGGAGGGAGUACUAG
rnacentral:pre_miRNA from 1 species